UUAAUGAAAUCUUUCUUUUUUGUUUGGGUACUGUCUUUGAAAUCCAGUGUGGAUUUUACACAUAUAUUACAGCAUAUCUAACUUUAGAACAGCCACAUUUCAAGUGCUCAAUAGCCACAUGUAGCUAGUGGCUACUGUAUUACACAGCACGGACCUAGUCAGUCUGAUGGCUCUCUUUGGCAGCUGUUUUUAAUCCAGCCUUUUACUAGAGUAUUUUAUGAAAGAAAUUCAUGAAUAUGACUGUUUUCCUUUGUCUUUUGUUGGCAGGCAUUUAGGCUCACCAUGAUGAGACUUGCUGUCUACCUUGAAUACAUGUUUUAUGUAGGUGACUAAAGUAGCACAGCGAUUAUAUACUAGGAAACUGAUACUAUCAGAAGAAUGAUUUGUUACACAAAAUGGAAGACGUUUUGUUCACAGAACUGUGGGCCCAACCUACUACACGAGUCCUUUCAAGAGAGGAAACGUUCCUGGCUGCAGCUAGAGAGAGAUGGCAGCGUGAGGAGGCUCUGACUUGCUGCAGCUGCCCUGAAGAUACGGGAAGGGUGUCACCGGCUAUGGGGUGCUGGAGGCCUCUGGAAGUGGAUUCUCUUCUAACAACUACAGAAAAGAAUGCUGUUGUGCUGACAUUUUGAUUUUAGCCCAGUGACAUCUGUGCUGGAUUUCUGACCUACAGUACUAUAAGGUUCUCCUGUAGAACUUCCCAGGCAGAAGAAAAGAUAAUUCUAAUGGUUCUGCUGUGGAGCAGAGAGUCACAGCUUGCAUCACAGUCCACGGAUCACCAAGAGGAACCUUACUGACUACUGGUGAGUCAAUGUUUUACAUCACAUGAAGACAAAAGAGGAUCACGGAUGUCAUUUUAGUUUGGGUUCUCACAAAAGCAGACCCUGAGAGGAGGACUUGGGUGACUCUACGAAGCAUAAAGCGAAGAAUGGGGAAAGUGAUUCAGGGAAGGGAAACGUUAAUGAAUAGAUUAUUGUGUUGAGCAGCUGGGGCUUAGUCUCAUCGUGGAUCUUCUGAAAAACCA